rnacentral:tRNA from 1 species
CGCUUCGUAGCUCAGCCCGGCAGAGCAGCUCCCCCAUAAGGAGUGGGUCGCAGGUUCGAAUCCUGCCGAAGCGUCCG